UUAACACAGGAAAAAAGUGAAAGUAUGGUUUCUGGUCAAGCCGCCCCUCUCAACCUUUUCUUCUUCUUACCAUAGACUGUAGCCCACAUAAAAAAUACGGGCCUUAAAGCAGCGCUAUUUUGACCCUUGGCGCAUCCAGUAGUCUCUGCCGUGUGCGCUCACUUUAGCACCCGCACCGAGGAAGAACAGUGAGAAGUGGGCUAAUAAAAACGAGAUCACACGGGCUCAGAAGCGGGUCUUAAGUGUAAAGACAACAUCACUCGGGAUUUUUGAAUGCCGUCAUUUGCCGAAGGAGUUUUUUCCCCCCUGGAAACUCCGACCCUGGAUUGUAGCUUAGAGGUCAACUCUUCGCCAGAUGCAGAUGGCGAGCGAGUCCCAGAGAUGAUGCACCCAGCUGCUUCAGAUCCCAUUCAACAGGACUGACACAUCAGAUUACAGGACACUGGCAGAUAAGAAAGAUCCACCACACCUUCAUUAUCCUGCCCAGGUAGAGGGAAACAGGCUGAGGUGUUUGACGUUCAUGGACCGCUAAGUGGAGAUGCUGUUGAUGCUGUGACACAGCUUCGUACCAUCGAUCACCUUUAUAUUCCGCUAUCUUCGCCAUCAUUACCAACAUCGGCUUGCCAGUUAACAUUUGUAUGAUGUAUCGUUAUUUACCUGACGUUGAGUUGCUGUGAGACGAACAGUUUGUCAUUCAGCCUGUAAGUGAAACAGUCUGGAUGUUCAGGCUGAGUUACACUCCGCCCGAAUACAGCGUGCAGUCAGCUGUGGCCACGGUAAAUGCUCAAGUUAACUUGUGAUCCAACAGCUGUAGCUACCGUAGCUCAUUUCACUCACUCAUUUAGCACACACACACACACAGAAGUUGGAAGCAGGGGUGGUGUAGGCUAUUUACGAUGUAGCAUGGUCUGUGCUCACUACUGGUGUGAGAGUAGGUCUGCACAACACAACAAACUUUUUUUUUCUCUCAGAUCAUUUAUUUUCUCGCAUGUAAUAAAGACACAAUUCUAGUUCCAUAAAAGAGCUCUUCUUAUUCUGCGGAUUAUUUCAAACAUGGUUGGUGCACUAUGAGAGUGUUAAAGGCACUGUAAUAAUCCUGCCCACUCUUCUUUAAUCACAUAGUCUAUUUCUUACCCCAACACUACUUCUCAGAACCUAGGUUGGUAAGUUUGCUAAAGUUCUACACUAGUGUUAAAUAUUCUAGACCUGUCUUUAGCAUUCAAAAACAAUGCUGCAGGGCUUUCCCCAGUACGUUGAACUAUGAUGCUAAGGGGCUCCCAAGUGGGUUAUAAAGUGACAACAAGGGGUCUUGACCAUUGGUCCAUAUGUGACGACUUGGGAGUGAGAACGGGUUGGGUUGUAGAUGGUUCA